AGGAUUGUUGGCGAGACGGUGAGCUCACAUUAAUGCCACUAAGCAACUGAUUUUGAUAGCAUGUGUAUGACGUCACUGAUCAACAUCAAAUGAAAUGCCUCAAAAGACCAGUCUGUACCAGCGGCUAACAUAGUGUAGGGUGAAGUCCUGGUCCUAACAGCUAUAUGUGCACGAGCAGUUUCUCAGUGUGGGAAAUCCCAACCAUGACUAAUCACAUUCACAUUAUACAGCGGCCGUCAAAUAAUGUUUCAUGUUUUGCACUAUGCGAAACAUCAUGUGCAAAGGUCACGUUUGCUGUUACAAUCGAAUGCGACAUUGUCUGUUGAAGCUACUUCCCUUCGAAUGCAUAAAUUCAAGCAUAGACUGUGAGCAACGAAAUUCGUUUGUGGGUCGAGUCCGGAUUAGACUGCUUCAGUUGACACCGCCGUACCACAGCCAGUUGCCCAAACCUGUGACGCGGUAAAAAUGGAAGGGAGUGAAGACAGAGCUGUGGUACCAGGUCAUUUUGAUCUACCUUUGCCAUCCAACACAGAGUCCAACAUUGACAAGAAUCUUUUCACUACAAAACUCACUGAGUUACAAGACGACCUGAGGGCAAGACGUGACCGUCCAGAGGAGUUGGCUAUUCAGAACGUCAUGGGAGUCUUGUCUUUCAGAAUAAAAGAUUACGAGGGUGCCCUUGGUUAUUUUGAAGCUGUUCUUUCCAAGGAUAAAAACAAUCUUAAUGCCUUGGCAAAUAAGCGAGAUGUUUAUAAGCACCUGACUCGAACUGCUGAUGCAAAGCGUCAUCAGGAUAAACUUGAUGACUUGUUGCAAGUUGGUGAGUUACCGCCAGAAGAAGUCAGACAGCGCCGUUAUCGCAAAGCUCGUUGCCUUGCUGAGCAUGCGUAUGCAUUUGCAUGUGACAUCCAUAUCGAUAGACCUGGUGAAAUUAGGUACGACCAAUCAAAUUAUCUUUACGAUGAUGCAUUCACACUUGGCGGUGAUCUAGUUGACACCCUGGAGAGAGAUAACUGGAAGUUUUGCAAGGCUAAAAACGCUCAUAAAAUAGUUGAUUUCUGCGUCAGCAACGGAGAAUACGCCAAGGCUGCGUCCAACCUGGAAUCCGCUGUGAACUUGUUCUUUGAAGUCACCCAGAGCGUUCCUGGGGACCCCGAAUUCAAGUGGGAGAGCUGGCGUCACUUGGCUGACCUCAUACGGGCAACUAAAGUUAAGAGGGAUUUGAAGGGGUUUCAAUUUCGGGAUGAAUUGCAAGAACACAGACAGAAUCCCGAGAUGUGCAUGAAGAACGCCGCAGAGAUUGCGCCUGAUAGUCCAAAGAUGUGGGCACGUUAUGCCAAUUUCGUUCACUCUUUGAACAAGAUGCACAAGCGAGCGGAGGGCACUAAGAGAGCCAAGGAGAUGCUCCAACGGUCAAUUCAUUUAGACAGCUCUAAAUACAAUUUCUAUGCAUUUUCGACGCGAGGAAGGAUAACUUUAGAUAACUACAGAUUUUAUAGGACCGAGUUUGAGAAGAAUUCUAAGUACAGCCACCAUCCAGCUAUAAGACAUUUGGAAGAUGCCAAACAAGACCUUGAGACCUCUCUCGCCAUGCGCGAGACACCUUGGGAUUUCUCGUACUUAAGCGAAAUUUAUCACCUGCGUACUCAGCAUCCUGAGAUGCAGAAUAAAGACAACGUCACUAAGCAGGACUUAGAAAAGGCAAUACUGUAUUCACGGAAGGCAUUAGACUGUCAAAACGGGGAGAAUCGUCGAGAGGUGCAUCUUGUGUUUGGGCAUAUUCUCUUCGACAUGGGAGAUCUUCCAGAGACAAUACAAUGCUUUAAAAAGGCAGUCGAACUUGAGCCAAAAAGGGACGCACACAGCGGAAACUUCACUGAAUUACUGAAAGCGUAUUUACAUCGCCUUCGGCUCGAGUCCAGUCUCAGUGACGGUGGGCCUUUCUUGGAUGAAAUGGUGCUCGCAUUGAAAACAGCCCAGAUCAAGUACGGCAGAAGCAGCCUGGAAAAACACACCAUCAGCAAAUUGAAGUCAGAGUACCUGGCAGAGAUUAAGAAGGUUGCGGAGUACUGUGAGCGGCGCACAGAGCAUAAGGACCUGGUCCCACUCCUGACGUCAGUGGCCGAAAAACCGCCGUUCUCAAUACCUGUCCACACUGGGCGUCCCAUGGAAGAACAUCGGAAGGCAUCGUCGGAGCAAAAUGUUGGCGCACGCCCACUGUCGGGAGCUAGUUUAGAAUCCUUUCAAUAAUUAUAUCCAAUGGCGCAGCCACGGGGGAUCGGGACGGGGUUGGGGUAGGCUGGGGACAAGUACCUGUGGGAACUCCGCCCCUUCUACCCUCAUCCCCCCCCCGAAGAGUCUGGCUAUGGAGCCAAGGGGGAAGCUGACCCCCUAUAGGGACUGGGGAUUCCCCAAGAGUGUGGCUACAAUGCAUGCUGGGCAACAUACAACUGUUGGCUGGAAUUCCAGCACCAUAGAUGGAAUGCAUGGGUGAAGAAGUGAAAGGCUUCUGAAAACAAGAAGCGAACGAGAAGCUGAUGUCAAGAAGUACAAUAAAAGUGUGUAGAAGAUUCGUUAGUUACAUGUGUAGUGGCCAUGGACAGAUGGUUAGGGUUCACUGUUUGUUAGAGCCAGAGUUUUGCAUUGUUUAUUCGACCCCCCCUAAUUUUGUUGGUGUAAGUACGUGUACUGUCUGCUGCUGUUUGGUGCCUAGCUGCGGGGUGCGCCAGGAAACAGGCAGAGAGGUUCCAGCUAGCAGUUAGGUAACACUUCCUGUGCAGGCAGAACACUGUGGCCAUGUGGUGCAGGGAGCCUUUGCUCUCUAAGUCAUUCUGACUCCAUGCUUUGAGAGAGAGUAACAUUGACUCCACUGUUUCAUUACAGCUGCUCGAUCAUCGAUUGGUCAUCGGCGCUGGCAUCACCGGCAUUUAGUACGUCUGAUGAAUAAGGGUCGGUCAAUCUCUUUUGCCUCGGGUCUCCUUGGUUUUAAGUUGGAGGGCUUCUUCUUGUAGAUCUUUCCACCCACGUGACUAAAUGUAAACAACACCACCACGUGUGGACCGCCUUGGCCACGGUGAUUGCAUAU
rnacentral:misc_RNA from 1 species